rnacentral:tRNA from 1 species
GGGUGUAUAGCUCAGUGGUAGAGUUUAUGCUUAACAGGCACCAGGUCCUGGGUUCAAUCCCCAGUACCUCCU